CCUACGGGUGGCAGCAGUGGGAAAUAUUGCACAAUGGGGGGAACCCUGAUGCAGCGACGCCGCGUGAGUGAAGAAGUCUUUCGGUAUGUAAAGCUCUAUCAGCAGGGAAGAAAAUGACGGUACCUGACUGAGAAGCCUCGGCUAACUACGUGCCAGCCGCCGCCGUAAUUCGUAGGGGGCAAGCGUUAUCCGGAUGUAAGGGGUGUAAAGGGGGCGCAGCCGGCGGUGCAAGUCUGGAGGGAAGGCGGGGGCCCAAACCCCGGACUGCUCUGGAAACUGUAAGGCUGGAGUGCAGGAGAGGGAAGCGGAAGUCCGAGUGUAGCGGUGAAAUGCGUAGAUAUUAGGAGGAACACCAGUGGCGAAGGCGGCUUACUGGACUGCAACUGACGUUGAGGCGCGAAAGCGUGGGGAGCAAACAGGAGUAGAUACCCGGGUAGUC
rnacentral:rRNA from 1 species